UGGAGUUUGAAGGGACAUCAGAUUCUCGUUAGGGUAAACCAAUUGCAUGUCGAGUAGUGAAAUUGGAACAAGGCUCUGUUACAUUUGAAGAAAAAAGCGAGGAAAGAGUUGUUGGUAAAGUGGAAGUUGAGGCGAGGUUGUCGAGACACAGCUACCCCAAACAGGAAUUGUUUUUUCUUCCACAUUAUCAAGCUGGUGUUUUAUCAAAGUCUCACAUCUACAAAGGUGUUACUGUGUCUUUUUACAUCAUGGAAAACAAAAGGUAAAUUAUAUUCUUUGCUAUAGCGUCGAAAGCUUGUACUGUUUCUCUAGAUUGUAUCACGUGCUUCAUCACGUGCAUUACAUUACGUGGUUAAGCAAUGAAUGCACAGUCUUAAGAAUGUUCUUUCUAUUUUGGUGAAGUCUUUCUCCUUAUUUCUGCGUUUUGAUAUGCUACCUUACACAAGAAAUUGCUUUGGUUAACGCUUAUAACAUGAACGUUAGUUUAUUAUUUACACGAACCAUGUCCAAUUUACGAGCCAUGUCCAAAUUGUUGUUUGUUUGAUGCACUGCUACAGUUCAUAAACCUCUAUAGAAAUGGACAAUGCCGUGGCGUGGAGUUGUUGCUGCUCGAAGCUUCGCCUUCUGUUUACGUUCAAGGAAUUGUCUGCUCGCUCAAGGAAUCGUUUGGUUUCAAAGACAGAGCUGACAAAGUGAACGAGGUAAAGAAGUUGCAGUCUCAGUGGAGCGUCUACCAGAAGGUACAGUGAAAUUUGAUGAUGUGAGCAAAGACACAUUUCAAGGCACCAUCGAGAAAGUACAUUGUCGGACAAAAAGACAGGAACCGUUAAAUGGUGUGAUAUUGUACAACACAAGCAAUGGUAGUUCACAGCUGCCAUAUUGGGAGAAAGAUGUCUUGGGGGAGUUCACCGUCUUGACUUGGGAUGUUGUUGGUUUUAAAAUUGCUACAGGCAAAGAACAGUUUAAGACUGAUCGAGAUAUCUAGUAUAUAUAGAUUAAGUUACGAUCGAUAAACCAGGCGGGAAUCGUACACAAAAUAUAAAUAUUAAAUUACUAAGUUAGUUUAGUUUAAGUUUCCUUCUGUAGUAACACUGGAUCAAUAAGAGCUUAUCUUUACUGGAUCUUUAGGAAGAAGAGUUUAGAACUGGUAGAGAUAUCUAACAUAAAUAAACUUGGUUU